GACGAACGCUGGCGGCGUGCCUAAUACAUGCAAGUCGAGCGGACGGAUGGGAGCUUGCUCCCAGACCGUUAGCGGCGGACGGGUGAGUAACACGUGGGCAACCUGCCUGUAAGACUGGGAUAACUCCGGGAAACCGGGGCUAAUACCGGAUAACUCUUUCCCUCACAUGAGGGAAAGCUGAAAGAUGGCAUCUCGCUAUCACUUACGGAUGGGCCCGCGGCGCAUUAGCUAGUUGGUGAGGUGACGGCUCACCAAGGCGACGAUGCGUAGCCGACCUGAGAGGGUGAUCGGCCACACUGGGACUGAGACACGGCCCAGACUCCUACGGGAGGCAGCAGUAGGGAAUCUUCCGCAAUGGACGAAAGUCUGACGGAGCAACGCCGCGUGAGUGAUGAAGGUUUUCGGAUCGUAAAACUCUGUUGUCAGGGAAGAACAAGUACCGGAGUAACUGCCGGUACCUUGACGGUACCUGACCAGAAAGCCACGGCUAACUACGUG
rnacentral:rRNA from 1 species